GACGAACGCUGGCGGCGUGCGUAACACAUGCAAGUCGAGCGGUAAGGCCCUUUCGGGGGUACACGAGCGGCGAACGGGUGAGUAACACGUGGGUGACCUGCCCUCAGCUCUGGGAUAAGCCUGGGAAACCGGGUCUAAUACUGGAUAUGACUCCAUGACGCAUGUUGUGGGGUGGAAAGCCUUGUGCGGCUGAGGAUGGGCCCGCGGCCUAUCAGCUUGUUGGUGGGGUGANGGCCUACCAAGGCGACGACGGGUAGCCGGCCUGAGAGGGCGACCGGCCACACUGGGACUGAGACACGGCCCAGACUCCUACGGGAGGCAGCAGGUGGGGAAUCUUGCGCAAUGGGCGAAAGCCUGACGCAGCGACGCCGCGUGAGGGAUGACGGCCUGGUU
rnacentral:rRNA from 1 species